CCCGUCAAGCCAUGGAAGCUGUUUCUACCUGAAUAGGUUGAGCUAACUCGCAAGAGAGGCAGAUCUACACGGUAGGAGGAGUGACUGGGGUU
rnacentral:rRNA from 1 species